GUGGUGAGCUGCCCUCUAAUUCUUCCGCGGGAGAUUUGUCCUCCCCCCCCCCNGCCCCAGUGGCUCUCCAGGACCUCUGUGUCCCCUCAGAGCAAUGGCAGGGUAAUAAUUUACUUCCUGGCAUAAGCCACUCCUUGAGAAUAUUCCUUUUGACCUUCAGACUAAUUCACCAAAACAAAAACAGAGAGGGGGUGUGUGUAAAUAACACCCUUAUGCAACUGGUACUAGUUACACACUCGGCUUUCUCCAGUGCUGCAUGACCGGACAGCCCUGUCUGGUUGACUUUCUCCUUUUGGCAGAUCUUAUAAAGCACGGGUGUGAGAGGAUAGAACAGACCAUCAAGGCCUCGGGCUCCAGGCUGUGCUCCUAUGCGGAAAGAGUUGUCUUCUUAAUGGACCGUUCCAAACACCCGGAUAACAGUCCCCAGUAUUCUUCAGCCACACUGGCAGCAUCACCAUCAAGUUGACUGCAGAUCUUGAGCCAUGACACGGUGCCCAAAAAACUGCAUCAGGCUGGACACUCUUAACUCCCCACCUGCAUGUUUGAUUCAUUCCUGCCACGAGAAUCCUGCAGGGCUGCAGUGAGUCCAUGCUGAUCAUGGUCCUUGUGCUUCACCUGUGACUGUUCCUCCAGCUGAUCCCCUGGCAGGGCUGUAGAUCCCCUUCACUUCCCCUGGAGCUCAGCUGGUCAAUCGCAUGCCUCCAUAGGUGGGGAUUCUUUAGCUCCACCCCAUGCUUGGACCGUGUGUGUGUGUGUGUGUGUG
rnacentral:lncRNA from 1 species